rnacentral:lncRNA from 1 species
CCGGUAUCUCAUCCGGUCCCGUCGCCCUACCCCUUCGCAUCCUGCGGACUGCCUGUCUAACCUCGUCUACCUUAAAACGUCUACAAUAGCUAAAAUCCCGACACUCCCCUGAGUGCUCCAGUUCCCCUAACACAAUAGCUCUGUCCCCCUCGUCAUUCAAGAGCCUAUGAAAGUACGACUGCCAUCUCUUCUUUAUGUGGCCGUCCUCCACCAACACUCUACCGUCCUCCCCCUUAAUGCACCUCACCUGAUCGAGGUCACGACCCUUCCUCUCCCUAGCCUUUGCGAGUCGGAACAACUUUUUCUCCCCUCCUUUCCUCUGUAACCCUGCAUACAAGCUCUCAAAAGCGGCCGUCUUAGCUGCA